rnacentral:misc_RNA from 1 species
UUUCCGUAGGUGAACCUGCGGAAGGAUCAUUAAUGAGUUGUCAUGGGGUUCGAUGCUGGCAGCCAAUUUUUGGAUGCAUGUGCUUGCCCUAACAAUCAUCUUCCAAACACCUGUGCACAUUUUUGAGGGAGUCUUGAGUUUGUUGCCGCUCUUGGGUGAUUUUCUCACAUUCCCUUAAAUCAUUAUACGCUAUUAACGAUGUUGAACGUGCUCUGUGCCGCAAGGCUAUUAAUAUAAUACAACUUUUAACAACGGAUCUCUUGGCUCUC